UUAACCAACUGAGCCACCCAGGCGCCCCAGAAAGCCCUUGUUUUAAAAUAAGUUGUAAAUCAACUUGACAGAGACAGGUUCUGAGCCUCUAAUUGUAUACAUUCCUUGGGUUCAAACAUAGCACCGGCGUCAUAAUGGAUGGUUAGCAAAUUCUUGUUAAAUGCGGAGUAGAUUUGAAUUGGCAACUAAAUUCAUAAUUUUCUAUGUCAGGACAUUCCUUUUAUCAAAGUGAGUUGCCUUAGAUUGCGGCCCAGGUCUUCCCUAUGCCUGAUGCUGUUUGGUCAUCAUCAUCAUCACGCCGUCUUUGUGAUCAAGAAGCAUUCAUUCAAUCCUUCUGGAAUGAGUGGCAGCAGCCCAAGAUCUAUCUUCAGGUACUGAGAAAUAUUCUUUGGCUUGAAUGCUGGAGCUGAAGCAAACAGCCUUCCUCUAUUGCCAGUUUUCAUAAAGUACCUGGUAGGAUAUUGACUUCAUCGUAUCGACUCUAUGAAUUAAUGUGGAAGAACUGACACAUUAACAAUACCAAGACUUCCAAGAAUUAAUGUGGGUACAGUGUAUUCAACAGGAGCGAACAGAGUGAAAAACUACCAAGUAAAAGGCAAGUUUACUAUUCUAGUUUUCUUUUUCCUAUUUUUAUUAUGCCCUUCCUCUAAAAAGAGGGAGGGAGAAGGGGAGGGAGAGGGAGAGAGACGGAGAGAGAGAGACAGAGAGAG